UGUCAUAUCAAAUUUAGAAACAAGAUUAAAAACCUAAAUUAAACUAUUUUAAGUUGUAAAGUUUCACGCCAGGAUAUAUAUUUCGCUAUUUUGUAGGUACCCGUCUACUUUCUGGUCCGCCUUCAUUUUAACCAAUCAGAUCACGAUCCAAAAAAACUCUUAAUCUGAUUGGCUAAAUGAAGUGAUCCGUUAAUCCCACCAAGCUAACCAAGCAUAUUCACCCGAAUUUCCCGAAUACAUAUUACACCAACACACACAAAAUAAUUGGUAAUGUAUUAUAUUAUUCCAUAUUUUGAGCAAAAUUUGUCGUCUUUGGUACCAGAACAAUCACACACUGUCACUGAGCAAAACAUUUUGAUAAAUGUCCUUUGACUCUCAACAGUCAAAUGGCGGGAAUGCGCGGGAACGCAUGAAUUUUAUUUUCCCGUAACUUUCAAUUUUGUUUUCCCGUUGCAGUUAAUUUUAUUUUGCGGUGACUCAGUUUAUACUUUCGCUGUGACACUUGUGGGUUACCCAAAACUCUUCCAAGAUAUGUUUGUGAUGUACUCUGAAGGCUAAUUUCCACUCAGGAAAAUUAUCCGUGGAUUGGAACGGACAAGAAAAUUUUUCUUUGUCUUGUGAGCUGGGUUGGAAUUAAUGACUUUAACACAAAGAAAAAUUUUCUUUGUCUGAUA